UCCCGAGACCUCUGCUACGGCAGCAGCCAAGUCUCGUCGUUUCGCACGCGGUAGGUGCGCUUUCCACCUACCAGACUCGCGCAAGCACGGGGCUGCAUGUCAUACUGCGGUCGUGUUUCCGCCGGUAUACGCCGGGUAUAUAUACCAAGUCGGUCGAAGCGUACGUGUAUGUUGCUAUACGGUUAGGUGUUGGAGAAAGAGACUCGACUCCCGGUUCUGGCAAACUCGAGAGACUUUAUUAAUUCAUUAGCUUCCCGCUUCUUAUUAAUACCGAGUUAAGAAAGCGUGUACUAUUAUACGUAAAAAUAAGAAGAAACUAAAAGUAUAGAAGUAAGAAAGAACAAAGUAUAAAAAGCAAGAUAUAAUAAAUGAAAUGUUUUUAAAUGAACGAUUGACUAUUCAUUCUCGAUCUAAAAACAAAGUUAUUGUUGAGUCAUGAUUUAAUGUUCACAAAUGUUGCAUAAAACCGUAUAAGUUAAUUAAUCAUACAUACACAUUAUAUAAAAACUUGGCUAUGCACAAGCUAUGAAUCUCUGCCAAGAUAUAGUACCUCAGUCAGCUAUGCGGUUUAUCGAUAUUGCGGCCGUAAACAAACGACAAUUUCUGUUAGCGUUGAGUGACGAAUACUUGAACCUUGAUCGUAAAUAAGUGUCGAGAUCAUGAUUUAGCUUGAAUCAUUUACAUCUCAAGUCGUGUUAUGACUGAUAUGCAACAUUAAUCAGUUAAAAGAAGAAAUUACGGAUAUUCAUAAAAACGGAUGAUGAACAAAAAGGAAUAAUAAAGAAGAGAAUAAUAAUUUAUCAGAAAGUAUAAAAAAAAAUGUGCAUAACGUAUUAUUUUCUAUAUGUGAUAAUUAGAAGGCCAACUUGACGAGCUAUAAGAGAAAAUAGAGCGUGCCGCGCGCACCAUCAAGCGCAUCAAGAGAGGUACGAAAACAACGCAAUCGAUUACCCGCUGUCGCAGUAUAUCUCGAUGAUUGCUGGGAAGACGUAUCGCAUUACACGAUGGCUGUUAAAUUGGGGGAUAUCCGCAGUAUCCGUAAUUUCCGCCUUCAGGAGGUCGGCGCGGCGCCACGCCGCUUCGGUGCUGCACACAGAGAGCUUCAAAUCCCACCCAAUACCGUCGAUAUCCAUAACCAUACGGUCUGUCGAGUAGCGGCUCGCGGUGUACUUCCUAGACAGAUCAAUUUGUACGUCUCCUAGAUCCGUGGAUCGUAGAUGAGCGUGUAAUUGGGCUGGCCCAGAUCCGCAUACACGGCUUAUAUGUAUAUACGGGAGGAGUGCAGGAAAUAUAGAAGCACAUCGGUAUCUAUGGUGUUAACCGAGCUGUGCUUCCAGUUUGAUAGGUCGCCGAAUAAUUACCCGAGCGCUACGUUCAGCUUAAUAGUCGCAUCAUCAUUCGAUAAACAUGUUAUUAUUGGAAGAGCGAUCGUGUGUACAGUGUACGGACGGAGCAGCCUCUGAGACUAUGUCUACUCGUGCGAAUUGACGGCAAUCGCGCAUCGUAUGAUAAUCGCCCUCUAUAUCGAUGCUUCUAGUCCUGUGAAGCUUCUGUAUAUGCAUCCGUAAUGCGUCAAUCUUAGAUCGUAGAUAAUUUGUAUUAAAGAUACAAAUGAUACCGGCUGCGCCGGUCUUUCUUUACUUACUCUGUUGCGAUCAACUUUCAGCGCGUAUUAUUUUAGCCAUUUCUUAUUACCGAGCGUUUUAACGUAAAAUAGUUUUUCACAAGGCAAAGUAUUAUUGAAUUAACUGCUCUUUUUACAAGAAUAUGUUUGUGCAAUGAUAAGAUUAUAUGCAUACUUAUUUUUAUGUGAAAAUACAAUGUAUUAUUUUUAAAUAACAAUCAUAUUUAAUUAGCGCAACGUCAUUGUAGGUGUUUAAUAAUAAUUUUCGAUUUUUAAGAUGAAUCAUUUUUCAUUUAUUGUAAUCUAUUUAAACGAUUAUGUGCCAUUAUCUAAGAUACUAAAAGGCCGUAUGUUCAGCGCUAAUAGUCGACUUGAAAAGAAGAUGUGAAAAAUGUUGCAUAGCCGAAGGCUGUUAUAAUAUCGGUAUAAUGAGAAUAUUUUCGGCACAGACAGGAUAAUAAAUAACGACGGAAGUGGCUUUUUUCUUGUCCGCUGUAGCAUGAAACAAGCACAAUGUUAUCUCGCAGAAAGGUUCGUCGCGGUAAACGCCAGUUUUCCUUUCGGCUCAUCUUGGUCGCGAAAAUCGCUAUAGAAACGUGACGGCGUGACGGCGUCGAGGAUAACGCGAUAACGAGCGGAUAAUCUCCCACAGUGAGCUGACUAAACAGUGAUUACACCCUUAACUUCUCGCCUUUCUCGUACUCAAGAAUUCGCGCCGCGAAGUUUAAUGGCGAUAAACGGCGACGGUUACAUCGCCCGGCGAUUCACUUUCCUCGCCAACCAUCCAUAUUACCGAUAUUAUUCAUCGAAUAGAAUUUCCACGGUGAGCCUUAGUCGCUCAUACGAAUAAUUCAUCAAAUUGGAAUCAAGCAUCUACGCGGAAGAGCAGGAUUAUACUCUGAGAUUUCCGUAGGGAGGUAAUAGAAUAUUCAUUGCUUUCCUAGAAAAUGCGAUCCAUAAAAAAAAAUUUAUAAGCUUAUUCGUUCAUUUUUAGCUGUCUACGUAUGUAAGAUAAUAAUUAAAGUGUAUAAUAGAUAUUUAAUU